AAGGUUUGUUUUUUGCAAAUAAUUUAUGUAUGGGCAAGUAAGACAGACUAUGUAUAUGCCUUCCUACAAGACCUACGCAUGAAAGAAUAGAAGAUUUCUUCAUACUAAAACAGAAAAUGUAACUGAAACAAAAAGGUGGAAGGAUAAGAACCUCUAAGCACCGGGUGUCAGGUACUGCAGAGGCUUCCUUUAAUGGCGGAUCAUAGGAGCCAUUUACUUUUACGGUCC